rnacentral:SRP_RNA from 1 species
GCCAGACACGAUGGCUCAUGUCUGUAAUCCCAGCACUUUGGGAGGCCGAGACGGGUGGAUCACCUGAGGUCAGGAGUUCGAGACCAGCCUGGCCAACAUGGUGAAACCCCGUCUCUA